AUUGAACGCUGGCGGCAUGCUUUACACAUGCAAGUCGAACGGUAACAGGGUGCUUGCACCGCUGACGAGUGGCGAACGGGUGAGUAAUGCGUCGGAACGCACCGAGUAAUGGGGGAUAACGCAGCGAAAGCUGUGCUAAUACCGCAUACGCUCUGAGGAGGAAAGCGGGGGACCUUCGGGCCUCGCGUUAUUCGAGCGGCCGACGUCUGAUUAGCUAGUAGGUGAGGUAAGAGCUCACCUAGGCGACGAUCAGUAGCGGGUCUGAGAGGAUGAUCCGCCACACUGGGACUGAGACACGGCCCAGACUCCUACGGGAGUCAGCAGUGGGGAAUUUUGGACAAUGGGCGCAAGCCUGAUCCAGCCAUGCCGCGUGUCUGAAGAAGGCCUUCGGGUUGUAAAGGACUUUUGUCAGGGAGGAAAUCCUUAGCGCUAAUACCGUUGAGGGAUGACAGUACCUGAAGAAUAAGCACCGGCUAACUACGUGCCAGCAGCCGCGGUAAAAC
rnacentral:rRNA from 1 species